UACGUAGGGGGCUAGCGUUGUCCGGAAUCAUUGGGCGUAAAGCGCGUGUAGGCGGUUCGGUAAGUCCGCUGUGAAAGUCGGGGCUCAACCCUCGAAUGCCGGUGGAUACUGUCGGACUAGAGUACGGAAGAGGAGAGUGGAAUUCCUGGUGUAGCGGUGAAAUGCGCAGAUAUCAGGAAGAACACCCGUGGCGAAGGCGGCUCUCUGGGACGGUACUGACGCUGAGACGCGAAAGCGUGGGGAGCGAACAGG
rnacentral:rRNA from 1 species